rnacentral:rRNA from 1 species
UUUCCCGGGGGGCCUGAAACUUAGAUAGGGACGGGGAAUGAUCUAGCUUGCUAUUUUGAUGGCGAGUGGCGAACGGGUGAGUAAUACAUCGGAACGUGCCCUGUAGUGGGGGAUAACUAGUCGAAAGAUUAGCUAAUACCGCAUACGACCUGAGGGUGAAAGUGGGGGACCGCAAGGCCUCAUGCUAUAGGAGCGGCCGAUGUCUGAUUAGCUAGUUGGUGAGGUAAAGGCUCACCAAGGCGACGAUCAGUAGCUGGUCUGAGAGGACGAUCAGCCACACUGGGACUGAGACACGGCCCAGACUCCUACGGGAGGCAGCAGUGGGGAAUUUUGGACAAUGGGCGAAAGCCUGAUCCAGCAAUGCCGCGUGUGUGAAGAAGGCCUUCGGGUUGUAAAGCACUUUUGUCCGGAAAGAAAUGGCUCUGGUUAAUACCUGGGGUCGAUGACGGUACCGGAAGAAUAAGGACCGGCUAACUACGUGCCAGCAGCCGCGGUAAUACGUAGGGUCCAAGCGUUAAUCGGGAAUUACUGGGCGUAAAGCGUGCGCAGGCGGUUGUGCAAGACCGAUGUGAAAUCCCCGAGCUUAACUUGGGAUUGCAUUGGUGACUGCACGCUAAAGUGUGUCAAAGGGGGGUAGAAUUCCACGUGAACAAAAAAUGCUAAAAAUG